CACAGACACAGUGCAAAAGGAGACACAGCUAUUGUCGUCCACAGAGCAUGUGAUCCUGGUCUUUUUUUCUCCCUGUCUAUCCAUCUGUCUCCUGUCUUUGCAUCUAUCUAUCAUUCCUCCCCCUCCCUUUUUUUGAAAUAAAUUUUUAACAGCCAUACAAGAGCCAGAAGAGAUAAUGUUAGCACAAUUUUUUUUUUUGCUUCCACUUCCUUGGAGGAUGACCUACAAUAAAUCUCCUUAGCAGCAAUCAUUUUCCUUAAUACAGAUGACUUCGGCUCAACCAACGGCAGAUUGCUCCCUGGGUGCGGCAGUGUGAAGAGAGACUGACCAUGCCCAACCUUGCAACAGUUGUGCUAAUGAAGAAAGGAGGGACUUCUGGCUCAAGCUAGGUAAAGUGUUGUUAUAUGAAGAUUGAACUAGACCACUUCUGCUAUCAUAAUCCCUCAAGGAAAGACCUCUUAUCUUCUAAACAGUUGCGUCCAACUGGAUUUAUCCGUCCGAAAGAAAAGGAGUAAAGCAUCAUUUACAUAAAUAACAUGGAGUCAAAUAACGAUCAGGGAUGACUAAGUGCUUCGAAGCUGACACAUUAAAUCAAUCAGCGAGACCUGUGUGGAUGAGAAAUGGGUUGGCUAUCGCCUCAACAGCCCCCAUCAUGCCAUAAUAUCACUCUAGUUCAUGAUGAAGUAACAAAAUGUUCAAUGUUCAUGGAACAGCUGCUUUCAUAAGGACAGAAAUAAUGAAAAGCGCUCCCAGAAUUCUUCAAUACUUAUGUAGCAAAACAAAUUUUUCAGAGAGAAAAUUAAAAUGCCAAGAAGAUUUAUCCUUCCUUGUGUAUAUGUCCUGCAGUCCAGAACAUGUGGGAAGGAAGGAUGGA